rnacentral:rRNA from 1 species
AUGAACGCUGGCGGCGUGCCUAAUACAUGCAAGUCGAGCGAACGGACGAGAAGCUUGCUUCUCUGAUGUUAGCGGCGGACGGGUGAGUAACACGUGGAUAACCUACCUAUAAGACUGGGAUAACUUCGGGAAACCGUAGCUAAUACCGGAUAAUAUUUUGAACCGCAUGGUUCAAAAGUGAAAGACGGUCUUGCUGUCACUUAUAGCUGGAUCCGCGCUGCAUUAGCUAGUUGGUAAGGUAACGGCUUACCAAGGCAACGAUGCAUAGCCGACCUGAGAGGGUGAUCGGCCACACUGGAACUGAGACACGGUCCAGACUCCUACGGGAGGCAGCAGUAGGGAAUCUUCCGCAAUGGGCGAAAGCCUGACGGAGCAACGCCGCGUGAGUGAUGAAGGUCUUCGGAUCGUAAAACUCUGUUAUUAGGGAAGAACAUAUGUGUAAGUAACUGUGCACAUCUUGACGGUACCUAAUCAGAAAGCCACGGCUAACUACGUG